CUGUGCUCAUGCUACUCUUUGUUCUAAGCUAAUGUAUGGUUUUAGCGAUUUCGUCAUGCAGUAUCCAUUACAUGUGCCCUAUUCUGUGGGUCUGUCUGAUUUGAUAGUAGUCCCUUGGUGUUUAUGGGUGCAGUUGAUUUUGACCUCAUAUAUGGUUUGGGGCUUCUGCGAGUAACACAAUUUACUGCUUCGAAUUUGGCUUCAUCGUCGGGGUUCAUCUUCUUCUAAUUUCCACCGUUGAUUAUGGGUCAAAACAAUCAAUGGUUUGGUAAUGGAUAAGCACGGAAUGCUCAGAACUCUCACAAAGUUAACACUCUCUGUCAGUUCCCGUUUCAACUUCGAUUUCUAAAUUUAUUAACACACUGAAUCUGACUGAACAUGAGGGUGGUUUUAUAAAGGCCCCAUCUGUGAGUGCAAUGGAGCCUGCAGUCUGCACGGUUAUUGAGCUAGCAAAAUUCAAUUUCUAUGCUCUUAGUAGAGGUAGGUGGACUAUUUUUAGAUCUAAUUUGGUUAAUUUUUGUAAGUGAAUUUGACUUUUCCUUUAAUAAUAGUAUAAUAAAAUAAAUUUGAUACUGAUUAAAUUUCAUUUUUAGAUGGAGUGGUAAAUAUGAAGCUCAUCUAUGGGAUGAUAUUUGCUAAAAAAAUGUUCAAGGCAUGGUAAGCACUGUAAUGAACUAUAUCUUUACCGCUUAAUCUAACUAACUCUAUAUUUUUCUGACUUGCUUGGGAUGUAACUUUUUUUGGGUUUUCAUGACGAUUGUUAGUUUAGUUGGGUAAGCUUUGGGAAGAAGUAUAUGGAAAAAAUUCCUUAAAAAAAACAAUAAGAGCUUUUGCGGUCAUAUAAGAUGCUACGUGGAAGAAAAGGCUGUAAGAGCUAAUGAUCUCUGCACAAAAAUAUUGAGACCCAUUAGCCUUUAUCCGUUACCCUGAAGAUAUUCAAUCUUCCACAAAAUUUCCACACUAGAGCCUGCUCAUUUGCUUUUAAGACUCUAAUCCUCCUGAUAUAUUGCUCACAUGGCUAUAUGGAUUCUACUUAUCUAAUGACAACUAUAACAACAUUGAUUGGAGCCUUUCUACUUAUGCUUAUGCUUAUCUAAUCUGAGAACGAUCGGCACCGUGUCUCCACUGCGGGAGGGAGCACUAGAAAGAUCGAACAACAAAGGAGAAGAUGAGAGAUCCAUGUUCAUUUGUUUUCGGUAAUUUUGAAUUUCAAUAGUACAAGUUGUUUGGUUUCCUAUAGGUUUGUCAUUAUGGAUUUAUGAUGAAUUAUGGGAAAGAAUCAGAAUCGAAAUUUGAGAGGGAGAAGAAGGUUUUCUCAAACAUUAAUGAAUAGAGGCGAAUGCUGAAAUCAAGGGUGCAUCCGGUAUUGGUAUAGGACAUUUGAAAGCAGUUUGGCCUCGGGGCACCAGUUUAAAACCAAGGAAUUCAACUUGGUUACAAAAAUUUGUUUAUAUUUGUGGU